UGGCUGACUGGUUACGGUGUUCGCUUUGUAAGCGAAUGAUUCUGGGUUCGAUUCCCAU
rnacentral:tRNA from 1 species